rnacentral:rRNA from 1 species
UACAGAGGGUGCAAGCGUUGUUCGGAAUUAUUGGGCGUAAAGCGCGUGUAGGCGGCUUUGCAAGUCGGGUGUGAAAGCCCUCAGCUUAACUGAGGAAGUGCGCCCGAAACUGCAGAGCUUGAGUACCGGAGAGGAUGGCGGAAUUCCCCAAGUAGAGGUGAAAUGCGUAGAUAUCUGGAGGAACACCGGUGGCGAAGGCGGCAUCCUGGACCAAUAUUGACGCUGAGGAGCGAAAGCCAGGGGAGCAAACGGG